AAAAAAAAAAAAAAAAAAAAAGAUGAAAACAUAGCUUUUUUACAACUAAAUUUGCUACUAUGAUCUUAGUGCUGACUGAUAAAUCGAUCUUCAAGUCAAUUCUUCUUCCUACGUAUGUAUCUCCCACCAGGAGUAAACCUAGGAUAUGGAUGAACAGUGGCUAGUUCAAGAAUUCGGUGUACCACAGUCUUAGGUAAAGGACGCAUGGCAUGCUUCAGCUUUUGUUCAACCUCUUUCUUGUUCUGUUUCAGUUUCUGCUUCUGCACAGAGCUAGCUCUUAGAAGAUUUCUCCAUUUAUCCCUCAAAUCUACAGGCGUGCGAUAAGCAGUCGAUGAAAACAAAAGCUUCUUUAUAUCAGUCCACCUCCCAGUUCCAUAUUGAGCAACACCAUCAAUCAACUUCAUCACCUCAGAAAGAGUCCACAUUCUUUGAUGCUUCCUUCUGUCAGCACUCUUCUUAGAUUUUCUUCUCUUUGCACGAUCAUCUUCAAACUCCGAUGCAGUAGGUUCACCAUCAGAGUCAAGGGCCUGAGUAGUAAAUGAUAACAUGAAAAUUGAAGUUAAUGUCCUAUAAAAAAAACUAUUGCAGGGUUAAAAAGAAAUACUACUUGUACUAACAGAGGCAAAAAGAGAAAAAUGCACUGUUCAACUCAAUUCAUAACUUUAUGAAUUGGUAGAAUGCGGCAAGACAUAGCUUCAAAACAGUUAGAUAUAGAAUUCCACAAGAUAUAGAAAUUCCUUGGUGGGUAGGACCCCAGAAAUGAAAACAGAAGCAUGCAUGAACAUGUGAGAUCCUGUGUCCUAUAUAAAUGCUGCAACCACCAAUAGAACAUAAAGUUGCAGCCAAAUAUAACACAACUCAUUAGAAUUUUGAUCUUCAUUUUUCUAAGAAUAACCAAAAAAAAAAAGGCUAGAGUGAAUAAGAACUGUUUUCCUACUGAAACACAUGGGCGUUUCUUAGGACGUCCCCUCCGUGGUCGAGAUUCAAAUGAUGCUUGAGUACUAGUUCCUGGUAAAGACUCCUCCCUGGGAGAAGAUUUGAACCCUUUCACAUGACGAAGUUCAUUCUGAGAUCCAAUCUUCAAAUGUUUAUCAUUUGAACCAGGUGAAGAAAUUUUUAGUCUUCUAGUCACACACUUCGACUUCAGAUCUGAAAGUUUUUCAUCAUCUUCAAUUGUUUCUUGUGUAACAUUCUCACUUAAUGACUCUUCCUUGGUCAAUGUCAGUCCUCUCCCACGAUGUAGUUCAUUAUGGGAUCCAAUAUCCAGGCAUUUAUCCUUUGAGUCAGCAGCCAAAAUUUUUUGUCUUUCCAGUGCAUGUUUGGACUUUGGAACUGAAAAUUCUUCAAUGAACCUCUUGGUAGGCUUACGCAAUCUCUUCUGUCUAAGAAGAGUACUCAUUUUGCUUGCCUGGAGAGGUUUCUUUUCAUUAUCAUCAGAUGAUAUUCCACUUUCUAAAGGCUUUGCAUCAUCAAGCUCAUCAAGAUUUUCUAAAUCACGUGAAGCAGUAUAAACAUUUUCCCCAGCCGGAUAAUCCCAUUUGUCCCCAGAUGAGUCAUUUAACUCACAUUUGACUGUUUUGUUCUCAACUGAACCAUUCUUGCAUUCAGAAUCUAGAAUAGUCGCUGUUGAUGAUUCUGACAACCCAUGAGUGCCAUUGCUACUUCCACUAAAUCCUGGAGAUUGACUUUCUGAACUUGAGUUUCCCAAAUGCAAUCUUCCAUGCGGUGCACAAUCCAGGUCAGAAAUCUUUUCAGCCAGUUCGACAUCCAAAAGAAAAUCUUCACAUGCCCCAGAUAUAUCAUUUGCAGCAUGAAUAUCAUCUACUUCAUCAACUUCAUCCAGCAGCCCAUCGAGAACCUACUAAAACACCAUUUAUCAGAUGUUGAUGAUGAUUAUAAAGCAAAUAAAAACCAAGUGGCACAGAUAAAACAAGUUGAUGUGCAUGAAGGGGAGGGGUUGUUAAUUUUUAGAUCAAGAUAAAACUCGCAUUUUUUUUUUCUCAAUGGAAAAGAUUUCAAUAAUAAGAACCAUGACAAGACAGAUUGACAAGAAGAGAUACAUACUCCAAGCUCUAAUUCAUCUUGUCCUUGAGUAUUAUUACAAUCCAGCCCACCUUAACACCAAGGGAAAAAAAGGUUAACAGAACACUUUGGGAAAGAAUAGUUAACCAAAAAUAAAAAGACCUAAAAGCAUACAUUGCUCUUAAUAUGUACCAUAUGUCUAGUUCCAGCCUGUUUCGAAGAAUUCAUGCAUGAUAAAUAGUUCUGCUCAAAAUCUAGGGCAGAAAUUAAUUCUAUAACUCUAAACAUCCUUAACUGAAGGAUGAAAAGUGGAGAUCUUGAAAACCACAGUCAAAGAAGAUUUCUUUACAACAAAACUUGUUUCCCAAGCCUUUGGGGGAUAUUCAAAGGAAAAGAAAGGGAAGCUUGUCCACGAAAUGUCUAUUUUAAGCAUGUGCUCAUCAUCUCCGUAUUUUUGUUUUUUCAUAACUUCUCACAGUUAGGACAUUUUCAUCCUACAUAGAAUAAGACAUUUUCAUCCUACAUAGAAUAAGACAUUUUCAUCCUACAUAGAAUAAGGGACUUGGAGAUUAAACUAUACAAAAGGAUGCAUUUGGUUUCCAGUCAUGGUUUUGGCACACUGAAGAAUAAGAAUUGAUCUUUAUUCUAAUGAAAUCUGAAAGUAUGU
rnacentral:misc_RNA from 1 species